UUUGUGUCUAACGGGGACACCCCGGCUUCUUAUAAACAGGAUAAUUCAGCACCAGCGGGGCGGAUGUUGACCUCCGUCUGAACCGUGUGGAGCAUCGCUGCAGACCAGCAGCCGAUGAGGCGGCAGGUCGGCCACUCUCGAUGGUCUCCCCCACCAUGAAGGCGGUGGUGGAUGCCGUGUGGGCGGUGUGGAGCAUCGGCGCCUCCAUCUAUGACUACAUCCACACCAGCGCCAUGGAGGAGCGCAUCCACGCCCUGGAGAACGUCAUAACCAUCCAUCAGUGUGUGAUCGGGCUGCUGACUGCCGGCGUGCUGGCUCUCUUCACCUACAUCCUCUUGAAGAAGCUCUGACCCGAUGACCUGAAGAGGAAGACUGAUGCCGAGUGUGAGAAAGGAGAGCAUUUUGGGAUACUUGUAGUUUAUCCGCGAUGAAAGCCAACAUGCACUUCUGCACAGUUUGCUACAUUUGAAGGAGAGAAUUGUGCAAAAUAUUGCCGUCCACAUUGGAAGCUGCUUUUUUAUUGUGUCAUCAUCUCAGCAAGUUUUUUAAGAGCAGUCGUUGAUUUUCCAUUGUCCUGAUUUAUUUUUUUUCUUUCCUUUUUGAAGGUCUGACUAAAUAGUUUGUUCAUUUUGAUUUAAUGAUUAAGUUUAAAAUGCUCUGUUAAUUUACAGGGUAAAGACACUCAGUAUACUCUCCUUGAAUUUAGCCUUAAUUGAAUUCAUAUAAAAAUAAAAGCAUUUACACUGUUGACUAACAUACAUCCAACACAUAUUUCUCAGGUAAUAUAAGGAAACUCUCCAGCAUCCAAAGGAAAUGUCACUCGACUUAUUGACAUUCUUUUAAAGACGGCUGUUGCUUUUCACUCCGUGUUCAUGUCAACAAGAAGUUCAGUCAGCAUCAUGGGAAAUAUAACAUUUAAGAGUAUAGAAGUCUUCUACAGACAAAUUUAGUUUAUAGUUGCAUUUGGUAACUUAAAUAACAAUGAUAAAAAUCAGUUAUUUUUAAAUAUGGUUGUAAUGUAAAUGUAAUUUAGGAUGUUUUCUUUUUUCAUUUUUCCAUGGAAUAACUAUUGAAUUUCCUCAGCAGAAUGACACUUUAAAAGUACCAGUGAUAGAUUUUUUUUCUUGCCAUUAUGUUGGAAAUGUGAUUUUUUUUUUCUUUUUACAUUAUUUUUCACAAAUAACACCCCACAGAUGAAAACAUAUCUAUCAUCUUUUGGAAAAUUAGUUAUUUCAAAAUUGACAUUCUCUAUGAAAGAUAUUUAUCAGAAUUUACAGUUUGUCUUUUUUUUUCUUUUUUUUUCCCCAAAAGGUCAGGUAACAUUUGUGUCUCUUAGCAUUUUAUUUAGCUGGACUGAGGAGAAAAAAUAAGUUUAGGACUGUAAAAGUUUUAAUCCCCUGACUUCAAUCCAGAGAUAUGUUUUUGUUUAACCCAAUUUUUACAUUUAUUCUGUUGUGGUCAGGAACAUGUUGCUCCAUCAGAGUUUAAGAGACUUUACAGUUGGUUGGUGUGCUUCAUAUUAACAUUUUCACAUCAAAUGGGUGGUUAAUGGAUUUUAACAGGAGUUUAUGAGAUAGACCAGCACAAUGUAUUGAAAAUUGUGAAGUGGAUGGAAGGAAGUAAACGGUUCCAAGUUUUUCAACAAAGAUCUUCAUCGUCCUCCAUCGUUGCCUUGUAUUUUAUUUCAUCCACUUCUCCUGCCCCAGCUGAAGAACAGCAUCCCACAGCAUGAUGCUGCUCUGACCCAGUCGUGUCAUUAUGAUGAUGUGCACAUCAUCAUAAUGGCACAUCAUGAUGAUGUGCCAUCAUGAUGUGCCAUUCAGUGUUUUUUUUAUGUCUCACACUUUCUACUUUUUAAGUUUUUGUAACAUUCUGGACAUUUGAGUGUCAGGGCAUUUUGUUACUUGUGUUAUAUCUGGACUAAUUUGGGUCAGCUGUAUUUCAAAAUGUAAAGUUUUCCGGGCUGCCAUUUGGCGUCUGGUUGUUUUGUCACCUGAGCUGAGGCGCUAUGUGACUCCCACGACCAUAACCCUAAUGAAGAGUUACGAUACCUGCUAAUUUCGGUCACUAAUGGAGGCUGUUGGUUGUACUGGGUUUUAUUUAUUCGUAGGAAAAGGGGCAUUUUUUUGAAAACCUAUUUCCACUUUAUAAUUGUGCUCUAUUUUGUGGUGGUCCACCGCUUAAAAUGUUUUGAAAUUUGAAGAUUUAAACUAAGUACUUUUACACAUUAACUGCAUUUUCUACUUACUCUUUUAUGUUGACAUGUUGCAUAGAAUAUGAAGAUCUAUUUUAUGUGCUUUUUUCCCCCGAUAAACAUUGUAUACCUCAUAACCAAGACUUUAGGUGCCACUGCGGUAAAAAUAAGCCACUUAUAGAAGUGUCCUUAAAAUCUGUAAUUAAAUAUGGAGGUUUAUUACCAUU